AUUGAACGCUGGCGGCAGGCUUAACACAUGCAAGUCGAGCGGAGAUGAGGUGCUUGCACCUUAUCUUAGCGGCGGACGGGUGAGUAAUGCUUAGGAAUCUGCCUAUUAGAGGGGGACAACAUUCCGAAAGGAAUGCUAAUACCGCAUACGCCCUACGGGGGAAAGCAGGGGAUCUUCGGACCUUGCGCUAAUAGAUGAGCCUAAGUCGGAUUAGCUAGUUGGUGGGGUAAAGGCCUACCAAGGCGACGAUCUGUAGCGGGUCUGAGAGGAUGAUCUGCCACACUGGGACUGAGACACGGCCCAGACUCCUACGGGAGGCAGCAGUGGGGAAUAUUGGACAAUGGGCGGAAGCCUGAUCCAGCCAUGCCGCGUGUGUGAAGAAGGCCUUUUGGUUGUAAAGCACUUUAAGCGAGGAGGAGGCUACCUGGAUUAAUACUCUAGGAUAGUGGACGUUACUCGCAGAAUAAGCACCGGCUAACUCUGUGCCAGCAGCCGCGGUAACAC
rnacentral:rRNA from 1 species